ACUAGAGUAGCACUCGCAUAUCAAUAAGCGGAGGAAAAGAAACUAACAAGGAUUCCCCUAGUAACGGCGAGUGAAGGCGGGAAGAGCUCAAAUUUGAAAUCUUAAAGGGUUUCCCUUUACGAAUUGUAGUUUAAAGAAGUGUUUUCUGUUGAGGUUUUGGUAAAAGUUCUUUGGAAUAGGACAUCAUAGAGGGUGAGAAUCCCGUAUUUGACCUUUACUUUCAACUUUGUGAUACACUUUCAAAGAGUCGGAUUGUUUGGGAAUGCAGUCCAAAAUGGGUGGUAAAUUUCAUCUAAAGCUAAAUAUUGGCGAGAGACCGAUAGCGAACAAGUACCGUGAGGGAAAGAUGAAAAGAACUUUGAAAAGAGAGUUACACAGUACGUGAAAUUGUCAAAAGGGAAGCGUUUGACACCAGUGUUGUUUUUCUGAAAAUCAAUUAAAGAACUGUUUAUGCUAAGUUGUUUAGACUUUAUCAGCUAACUGUUUAGUUUUGAGCUUUUCUUUAAUGCACUUUUCAGUUAACAAGUCAACAUCAAUUUCUUUUGCUGUAAAAAAGCUUGAGGAAGGUGGCUUGAGAUUCGUCUUAAGUGUUUAUAGCCUCUUGCCUAUGCAGUCGGAGAGAUUGAGGUCUGCAGCGUAGAUCCUUCGGGGCUAAAUGCAUUUGUGCUAAGUUAUAGCAUUUUAUAGACAACUUGUUGACUAUGAUUUGUCUUGUAGCUUACUCGCUUAUGUUAUUUUACCUACGCUUAGGAUGUUGAGCGCAUGUCUCUCUCU
rnacentral:rRNA from 1 species